CGAACGCUGGCGGCAGGCCUAAUACAUGCAAGUCGAACGGCUCUUCGGAGCAGUGGCGGACGGGUGAGUAACGCGUGGGAAUGUGCCCUUAGGUACGGAACAACACAGGGAAACUUGUGCUAAUACCGUAUGUGCCCUUCGGGGGAAAGAUUUAUCGCCUUUGGAGCAGCCCGCGUUGGAUUAGGUAGUUGGUGAGGUAAAGGCUCACCAAGCCGACGAUCCAUAGCUGGUCUGAGAGGAUGACCAGCCACACUGGGACUGAGACACGGCCCAGACUCCUACGGAAGGCAGCAGUAGGGAAUCUUGCGCAAUGGGCGAAAGCCUGACGCAGCCAUGCCGCGUGUAUGAUGAAGGUCUUAGGAUUGUAAAAUACUUUCACCGGGGAAGAUAAUGAUGGUACCCGGAGAAGAAGCCCCGGCUAACUUCGUGCCAGCAGCCGCCGUAA
rnacentral:rRNA from 1 species